AUUGAACGCUGGCGGCAUGCUUUACACAUGCAAGUCGGACGAGUGGCGAACGGGUGAGUAACAUAUCGGAACGUACCGAGCAGUGGGGGAUAACUAAUCGAAAGAUUAGCUAAUACCGCAUACUGUUUGAGCGGCCGAUAUCUGAUUAGCUAGUUGGUGGGGUAAAGGCCUACCAAGGCGACGAUCAGUAGCGGGUCUGAGAGGAUGAUCCGCCACACUGGGACUGAGACACGGCCCAGACUCCUACGGGAGGCAGCAGUGGGGAAUUUUGGACAAUGGGCGCAAGCCUGAUCCAGCCAUGCCGCGUGUCUGAUGAAGGCCUUCGGGUUGUAAACUCCUUUCGACAGGGACGCGGUACCUGUAUAAGAAGCACCGGCUAACUACGUGCCAGCAGCCGCGGUAAUAC
rnacentral:rRNA from 1 species